AUGGGGGCAACCCUGAUGGAGCAACGCCGCGUGCAGGAUGAAGGCCUUCGGGUUGUAAACUGCUUUUAUAAGUGAGGAAUAUGACGGUAACUUAUGAAUAAGGAUCGGCUAACUACGUGCCAGCAGCCGCGGUCAU
rnacentral:rRNA from 1 species